rnacentral:lncRNA from 1 species
GGCAUUCAACUUACUGCUGGAAGAGUCUUAGCAGCCCUGGCCACUUUCCGAAUGUUACAAGAUCCCAUAUUUGGUCUACCAGACUUGCUCAAUGUAAUUGCACAGGGUAAAGUGUCAGCGGACAGAGUUGCUUCUUACCUGCAAGAGGAUGAAAUUCAGCAGGAUGCAAUUGAAUAUAUUCCAAAGAAUCAGGCACAGUUUGACAUAGAGAUUAUCAAUGCAACAUUCAGCUGGAAUCCAGACUCGAGUCCUCCAACUCUGAGUGAUAUUGAGUUGAAAGUUAAGAGGGGAAUGAAAGUGGCGAUCUGUGGAACAGUGGGAUCAGGGAAGUCGAGCCUUCUGUCAUGCGUCCUAGGAGAAAUAGAGAAGCUCUCUGGCCGAGUGAAAAUCAGUGGUACAAAAGCUUAUGUUCCACAGUCUCCUUGGAUACUGACAGGGAAUAUAAGAGAUAACAUUCUGUUUGGAAAUUCAUAUGAUCCCGACAAGUAUGACCAAACAGUCAAGUCAUGUGCUUUGAUUAAGGAUUUCGAGCUGUUCUCAGCGGGCGAUCUCACGGAGAUUGGAGAAAGAGGCAUCAACAUGAGCGGAGGGCAAAAGCAAAGGAUACAAAUUGCACGUGCAGUUUACCAAGAUGCUGAUGUAUAUCUGCUUGAUGACCCUUUCAGUGCAGUGGAUGCUCAUACAGGCGCACAACUCUUUGCAGUAAGUUUUUCCACUCUCUUGCAAGAGUAGCAAUCCAAUGAUGGAUGUAAAAAUAAGAUAUUAGUACGAUGUCUCACAUCCUUUACUGCAAAAAUUUGCAUUCUGACUUUAUUCCCUGUAG